UAUACAUCCAUGCAUGCGGGUCUGUCAGGUCGAGCCUGGCGUGAGAGAGGAAACAGAACGUUAAACUGUUUUAUGGCCAGAAUAUAUGGUAAAAGACGGACUGCAUAAUUAAGGGAGGAUUACCUGCAGCAGACCGACGGAGACGAGACGACGGAGUGUGUUGAAGAGGCCUAUAUGAACAACUACAAUCCCCGGUUCAGGUGGCGACUGGCGCGCUAACGGAGCUCCAGGAGGGAAAACCUUUGCGACGCUGAGGUUCGGCUGAUUUGCAAAGCUCAAGUCAUGAGAGUGUACUGAGGCACCAUCGACUUCGGCACGGAAGAGGAAAUCACUGGCCCUGUGCCUACACCGACUGUGUCUGCACCUUCAGAACCUAUGGGGCAUUGAGGUCACACCUCACCAGAUCCCACUGCAAGACUGCAUCAAGGCAAGACACCUGCACCUUUUUUUGUGAGCUAUGUGACUUCAGAG